rnacentral:rRNA from 1 species
UCCUACGGGAGGCAGCAGUGGGGAAUAUUGGACAAUGGGCCACAAGCCCGAUCCAGCAAUUCUGUGUGCACGAUGAAGGUCUUCGGAUUGUAAAGUGCUUUCAGUUGGGAAGAAGAAAGUGACGGUACCAACAGAAGAAGCGACGGCUAAAUACGUGCCAGCAGCCGCGGUAAUA